GCUCCGUUAGCUCAAUGGUAAAGCGUGUCCAUAUCUUUAUCUCUCUCUCUUCCGUAUCCUAAAACCUAAAAUAUUCUUUCAGCUCCAUUCCUAGAACUCUAUGGCAAGAUACUGGUUCAAAUCCAGUACGGAGCA
rnacentral:tRNA from 1 species